rnacentral:rRNA from 1 species
UCGCUCAAGAUUUUUUAAAUGCGGGUAUUUUAACUAUACAAAGGUAUUGUAAUAAGAUUUUAAUUGAAUGCUAAAAGAAUGGAAGUUUAAGAAAAAACUUUUUUAAAAAUAAAAAUUAAAUUUUUUUUAAUUGGCAAAACCAAUUAUUUAUAUUAAAGACAAGAAGCCCUAUGAAUUAUGAUAAAUAAACUAAAAAUUUUUAGUUUAUUUAAUCUUGAUGGGGCAACAAAAAAUAUAAUACUUUUUUAAAUUAAAUGAUCA